rnacentral:sRNA from 2 species
CCAUUAUAUCCUCGGAAUACUGGACUGACAGAUAUUGAUGGAGACUAAACAAACCAUCGAGACAGCUACUCUACAGUGCUUUCCGAAACUGACAACCCUCCGGAAACAUAGAGUUUACAAACAACAUCACAUUGGUAUAGUUAUAUCAAGAAAUGGGAUGACAUACCUCGUGAUAUUUCUCAAGCCUACCUAAUAUCAAGUCGGAGCUUAUUUAGACGUCCAAUUUUGCACGAAGCACGGAGCACCGAUUCUGCACUCUGUAUAUGGACAUGACCGUGUGUGAGGGUUGUUGUAAGCAAGAAAAAGACUACCAGCUAUCUCAGCGUAAGGACGAAGUCUUGAAUAGGCAGUGAAGAGCCAAUAGGGACAGUCACACCCAGCGAAUCCAGGAAUAAAU